CCCCCCCCCCCCCCCCCCCCCCCCCCCCCCCCCCCCCCCCCCCCCCCCCCCCCCCCCCCCCCCCCCCCCCCCCCCCCCCCCCCCCGGGCAGCGCCGCCGCCGCCGUGUCCCGGCCCAGGCAGCCGCGCUGGGCGGCUCGGGGGGACCUGCGGGGCCGGGGCCGGGGCCGAGGUGCCGCCUCUGCAGCCGCCCGCGGAGAGGGUCCGUCAGCGACCGGGGCAUUUCGUACCUUCCUACCGAGGUAGCGAUCGAGGCCGAGAGAGGGCCUGUUACUGUUUGUGAUGUUCAUCCUGCCAAAAUCCAGUUUGAGGUGUUGAACACUCCCUAUCCAGAGCAAUCUGGUUUUGUUGCCACCUGUUUUAUUGGAAAGAACAUCAUGCUGCAGGGUAUGCAUUUAAUAGUUAAUAUACUUAUUAUCAAGUGCAGCUUUUGCCAUCCUCUGCAUUUCACAACCAGGUAGCCUGGUGUUGAAGGAUCACAAAAUUGUAAGUGUUCUCUGUUUUUUCGUGUGGAUGCCCACCAGGUGAAGAAGUGAGAUUGAACAAGAUCCCUAGCUGUUAGGACAGUCUCCCACCAAGGUCACUGUCAAUGGCCACCUAAAGCCACACAGUGGCUUUGACUCCAUCACACAGUCUGAUUAAAAUCAAACUCUUUUCUGAGGGCAAAGUCAUCUCCACAGAGCCUAUACCUGGAGCUGCUUCACUCAGCAGCACUGCAUAUGAAUUUAGCAUUGAAGGAAGGUAACUGAGGAGCUCAUUGCAUAUAGAGGAGUCAAAGCAGAGUGCUGAUGCCCAGCAGGAGCAGCACCACGCUGGAAUCUGGGGCUUCAGCAGAUCUCAGGGAGAGGAGGUGCCACGCAGCACCACGCUGGAAUCUGGGGCUUCAGCAGAACUCAGGGAGAGGAGGUGCCGUCUCCUCUCAUCCAGCAGCUCUCUGGUUUGAGCUGACUGACAGUCAGUAGCUGUCUCUGUAACAGUCAAUUUUUUGACAGGGAAGCUGCCAGUGUUCAAGGCUGUUGAUGGUUUGGAGGAAAUGUGUUUUCUGAAUUGUGCAGGUGUUAAUUCCAAUAUAUUUGGAAUUAACUCUCCAGACCAGACACACUUCCCCACUGUAGUGCAAAGCCUGUUUCACUCCUAUAGCAGCAACAUGAAUGUCAAAACUCCAUGCUCACAGUGUGUUUGAAACCUAGGCUUUUGUGAGCAAGGAAACAACUCACAUAAAUGUGGAAAUGUUCAUUUUACUGUUU
rnacentral:lncRNA from 1 species